UUGUUACAAUAUAACAACCAUAAAAGGAAGUAAAAAAUUAAGCAGGCUAUUAGAAAUGCUAAGUUUUGAGUAAUAGAAUUCCGGCUGAAUGGCAGGCUUUUCAGCAUACUGGCGUGAAAGUCGUUUAAGCGAGAUAUUUGGCUUAGAGGAUAAUAACAUAUAUGAAGCACUUUUUAACAUGCUUCUAAAAAUAAUUUAAGAAGUAAUAUCAAGACGUCAGAAGGAUAAAGAAAUGCGGAGAGGGAGAAAAAAAGAACCCGAGAAACUGAAAACUCAAAUAUCUAGAAAAAAUGAAUAUCGGACUGAUAGUUUUCUUCGAGUGUUUAAAAUAAUCUUUUCCAAGGCUUUAGCUAAUCUUUCUGUAUCCUAUUUAACCCUGGGAUAUCUUAAAGUAGCAAUUUGGCUUCUCUUUUGG